rnacentral:misc_RNA from 1 species
UACGUAGGUGUCGAGCGUUAUCCGGAAUUACUGGGCGUAAAGGGCACGCAGGCGGCAUGGAAAGUCGUACGUGAAAGCUCCCGGCUUAACUGGGAGAGGACGUAGGAAACUAUCGUGCUUGAGACAGUGAGAGGGAGGCGGAAUUCCCGGUGUAGUGGUGGAAUGCGUAGAGAUCGGGAAGAACACCAGUGGCGAAAGCGGCCUCCUGGCACUGUUCUGACGCUGAGGUGCGAAAGCGUGGGUAGCGAACGGG